rnacentral:rRNA from 1 species
UACAGAGGUCCCAAGCGUUGUUCGGAUUCACUGGGCGUAAAGGGUGCGUAGGUGGUGGGGUAAGUCCGAUGUGAAAGCUCCGAGCUCAACUCGGAAAUUGCAUUAGAAACUACCUUGCUAGAGGGUUGGAGGGGGGACUGGAAUUCUCGGUGUAGCAGUGAAAUGCGUAGAUAUCGAGAGGAACACCAGUGGCGAAGGCGAGUCCCUGGACAACUCCUGACGCUGAGGUACGAAAGCUAGGGGAGCAAACAGG